rnacentral:snRNA from 1 species
UUGAGAAUCAUAUGGACUG